GCCGCGAGGUGGAGCAAACCUCNGAAAAACCGUCUCAGUUCGGAUUGUAGUCUGCAACUCGACUACAUGGAGCUGGAAUCGCUAGUAAUCGCGAAUCAGAAUGUCGCGGUGAAUACGUUCCCGGGUCUUGUACACACCGCCCGUCACACCAUGGGAGUCGGGAAUGCCCGAAGUCAGUGACCCAACCGGAAGGAGGGAGCUGCCGAAGGUAGAGCCAAUGAUUGGGGUGAAGUCGUAACAAGGUAGC
rnacentral:rRNA from 1 species